rnacentral:rRNA from 1 species
UUGACGGGGGCCCGCACAAGCGUCGGAGCAUGCGGAUUAAUUCGAUGCAACGCGAAGAACCUUACCUGGGUUUGACAUACACCCUGCCGCUCCAGAGAUGGGGCUUCUUUUGGGGGUGUACAGGUGGUGCAUGGCUGUCGUCAGCUCGUGUCGUGAGAUGUUGGGUUAAGUCCCGCAACGAGCGCAACCCUCGUUCUAUGUUGCCAGCACGUAAUGGUGGGGACUCAUAGGAGACUGCCGGGGUCAACUCGGAGGAAGGUGGGGAUGACGUCAAGUCAUCAUGCCCCUUAUGUCCAGGGCUUCACGCAUGCUACAAUGGCCGGUACAAAGGGCUGCGAUCCCGUAAGGGGGAGCGAAUCCCAAAAAGCCGGUCUCAGUUCGGAUUGGGGUCUGCAACUCGACCCCAUGAAGUCGGAGUCGCUAGUAAUCGCAGAUCAGCAAC